AUGAAUAUACCGGUUCUCGUUAGAUCACCGAAGUUAAGCAUCAUUGGGCGCGGUCAGUACUGGGUUUGGGAACACCGCGUGCCGU